ACGGUAGUUUCUUGCCUCGUAUGAUUGAGCGCUACACGGAGAUGCAAUCGUCGUAUAUUCAUGAACACCGUCAAGUUGACUUGAUGGAGUAUUUGUGAGCGGUGAAAGGCAAUGAAGGUGAAUGAAGUGAAGUGAAGAUGUUUUUUUUAAUGUAUUAUGUUUAUGUUGUAUUUUUAGUUAUGCUUUAUUUUUUUUUUAUGCUUUAGUUGUGGUUUGAUUAUUUUUUAUGCUUUGGUUGUGUUUGCUUUUUAUGUAUGGAAUGUUUUGAAUAAAAAGGAAUUUUGUUGAAUAUUUUCUUUAUUCACUAAAAGAAAAUCAAUACAACUCAUAAAAUAAAAUACAUGAAUUACCACUAAUUUUUGAAACAAAACAAAAAAUACAAUGGAAUGAAAGACAAGCAAACUAACUUAAUGGUACAAUGAAAUGAAAGGCAAGCAAACUAACUUAAUGGUACAAUGAAAUGAAAGGCAAGCAAACUAACUUAAUGGUUUUGAUCAUUUAACCAAUCCGUGUUGCUAGGUCCAUCGUCACGAAAAAGUCUUCGUCUCAUAACAUCCCUUCGUUCUAGCUUCCAAAAUUGUUUUGUUUCAGGGGAUAUAUGGCUUGUAUCCAUGGCCAUGGUUUCCCGAUCCUUUUUUUCAAUCUUUUCUUGGCGUACAUACUCCCUUUCUUUUGCAUAUUCUACAUCAAUUGCCCUAUCGUGCUCUUGUUGUUUCAUGUCCAUUUCAAUUCUCAUGGCUUGCAUCUUUGAAAGUUCCUCCAAAAAUUUAGAUGCAUUCUUGGUAGAACUACUCCCUCUCUUCGCCUUCGCCGCCUUCCUCCCAAUAGGCCUAGGCUCCUUUUCAAUAGGCGAGUCUUAACUCAUCGAGGAAUCCAUAGGUGAAUCCGAUGCCGGUGUCUCAUGGAGUGGCGUCUCGUUCAAGACUACCGUCGGACCUGUUGGAAUAAUUUGGAAUCUCAUACAAUUCUUCACCACCUCCCAACAUAGGGUAUGGUUGAAACUUUUUUU
rnacentral:lncRNA from 1 species